rnacentral:rRNA from 1 species
CCCAGACUCCUACGGGAGGCAGCAGUGGGGAAUAUUGCACAAUGGGGGAAACCCUGAUGCAGCGACGCCGCGUGAGUGAAGAAGUAAUUCGUUAUGUAAAGCUCUCUCAGCAGGGAAGAAAAUGACAGUACCUGACCAAGAAGCCCCGGCUAACUACGUGCCAGCAGCCGCGGUAAUACGUAGGGGGCAAGCGUUAUCCGGAUUUACUGGGUGUAAAGGGAGCGUAGACGGUUAUGUAAGUCUGGAGUGAAAGCCCGGGGCCCAACCCCGGGACUGCUUUGGAAACUGUGUAACUGGAGUACAGGAGGGGCAGGCGGAAUUCCUGGUGUAGCGGUGAAAUGCGUAGAUAUCAGGAGGAACACCGGCGGCGAAGGCGGCCUGCUGGACUGAAACUGACGUUGAGGCUCGAAAGCGUGGGGAGCAAACAGGAUUAGAUACCCCUGUAU